rnacentral:rRNA from 1 species
UGGCUUCCGAGUUGUAAUUUGCAGAGGGAGCCUCGGAGGGCGAGACGGUCCAAGUGCCUUGGAACAGGAUACCGCAGAGGGUGAGAGUCCCGUAUCCGGCCGAUCUUGCGCUCCGUGUGAGGCCCCUUCGACGAGUCGAGUUGUUUGGGAAUGCAGCUCCAAGCGGGUGGUAAAUUCCAUCUAAAGCUAAAUACUGGCCAGAGACCGAUAGCGAACAAGUAGAGUGAUCGAAAGAUGAAAAGCACUUUGAAAAGAGAGUCAAACAGUACGUGAAAUUGUUGAAAGGGAAGCGCAUGGGGGCAGACUUGGACGCGGGGUUCAGCGUUUCGCUUUGGAGCGUGUACUUCCCCGCGUGCAGGCCAGCAUCGGUUCCGGGGGCCGGACAAAGACGUUGGGAAUGUGGCUCCCCUCGGGGAGUGUUAUAGCCCGGCGUGCAAUGCGGCCACCUGGGACCGAGGACCGCGCCUUGUGCAAGGAUGCUGGCGUAAUGGCCUCAUGCGGCCCGUCUUGAAACACGGACCAAGGAGUCUAACAUCUAUGCGAGUGUUUGGGUGGCAAGCCCGGACGCGCAAUGAAAGUGAACGGAGGUGGGAGUCUGUUACAGGACGCACCAUCGACCGAUCCGGACGUCUUCUGAAGGAUUUGAGUAAGAGCAUAGCUGUUGGGACCCGAAAGAUGGUGAACUAUGCGUGAAUAGGGUGAAGCCAGAGGAAACUCUGGUGGAGGCUCGCAGCGGUUCUGACGUGCAAAUCGAUCGUCAAAUUUGCGUAUAGGGGCGAAAGACUAAUCGAA